rnacentral:rRNA from 1 species
UACGUAGGGUGCAAGCGUUGUCCGGAAUUAUUGGGCGUAAAGAGCUCGUAGGCGGUUUGUUGCGUCGGCUGUGAAAUCCCGAGGCUCAACCUCGGGUCUGCAGUCGAUACGAGCAAACUAGAGUGUUGCAGGGGAGACUGGAAUUCCUGGUGUAGCGGUGAAAUGCGCAGAUAUCAGGAGGAACACCGGUGGCGAAGGCGGGUCUCUGGGCAACUCCUGACACUGAGGCACGAAAGCUAGGGGAGCAAACAGG